rnacentral:sRNA from 1 species
ACCUUAAACACGGUAUCGGCAGUAAAAGUUAGCGCAAGGCUCAGAAAUGGGCCAUUCCCCUAAGCCUGGAACGAUGUUCCGGGCCUUUUUAU